UACGUAGGGGGCAAGCGUUGUCCGGAAUCAUUGGGCGUAAAGAGCGUGUAGGCGGCUCGGUAAGUCCGCUCUGAAAGCCCGGGGCUCAACCCCGGGAGGCGGGCGGAUACUGUCGGGCUAGAGUCCGGAAGAGGCGAGUGGAAUUCCUGGUGUAGCGGUGAAAUGCGUAGAUAUCAGGAGGAACACCGGUGGCGAAGGCGGCUACCUGGACAGAGUCUGACGCUGAGGCACGAAAGCUAGGGGAGCAAACAGG
rnacentral:rRNA from 1 species